GUUCGAGCGUCAUUACAACCCUCAAGCUCUGCUUGGUCUUGGGCCCCGCCGCUCACCCGGCGGGCCUUAAAAUCAGUGGCGGUGCGUCGGGCCCUGAGCGUAGUAAACAUCCUCGCUACAGGGACCCGGUGGACGCUGGCCAGCAACCCCCAACUUCUUAGUUUGACCUCGGAUCAGGUAGGGAUACCCGCUGAACUUAA
rnacentral:misc_RNA from 1 species